AAAAAAAAAUAAGCCUUAAGAGUAAUUAUAAAUAAAUAAGAAAUGUAAAUGAUAUAUUUGCUAUCAAAUAGUAUAAAAAGAGACUAUUAUGGAAAUAUAAAGCCAUGUGUUAAAGAGAGAUUUGUUAUCUUAUGGAAACCAUAUAAACUCUAAGAUAAAUUACAUGAUAAACGAAGCGAAUUGAAAUAUCUUAGUAGCUUCAGGAAAAGAAAUCAAAAGAGAUUUUAUGAAUAGUGUGAACGAAAAUAAAAUAGCCUAUAAAUAAGUAAAAUGGUAGAAAAACUGUUUGAAAAAUAAAUGUCAAUUAGUUUUAUUAUUAAGACUAACUCUGGGGAACCUUCCUCAAAGGCUAAAUAUAACACAUGAGCAUCAGAGAAUUAGUACCGUAAGGGAACUAUUGAAAUAGUAGUUUUAUAAGCAGCUCGAGUUGUAUUUGAAAACAAGAGCGUACCUUUUGCAUAAUGGGUCACCAAGUUAACAUUAGAUGCGAGCUAAUUAACAUUGCGUAGUUAAAACGAUCAUAAUGUAACAGAAAAUGAUAAGUGUCUAAAGUUAGACCCGAAGCCUAGUGAUCUUACUAUAGUCAGGGCUAUAAAGGCUCGAACGGGUUAUUGUUGCAAAAAUAUCCGAUGAACUAUGGUAAGCAUAGUGAAAGACAAUUCUGACUAGGAUAGCUGGUUUUCUGCGAAACCUAUAAUAGUAGGCAAUUUAAGUAACAUCAAAGCAGGUACAGAACUUAAUCUCAGACCAGAUGUAAAUUUUCAAAGAGUAUUUACGUACUCUUUGAAAAUACAUUAUUCAAUGGUACAUAUCGGGGGAUCGUGAAGAUUUUAUCGGUGAGUAUGUAGACUCGGAAUGGCUUAGAUGGAUCUUGAAUGAUCAGACAUAGAAUGAUAAGGUUGUAUGUCAAAAGGGAAACAGCCCAGAACAAAAGUUAAGGUUCCAAAAUUAUUGUUAAGUGAAAUUAAGAAGGUUUUUAUUUGAGUCGACAAGGAGAUGGGCUUAGAAGCAGCCAUAAUUUGAAGACCUCGUAAUAGAGCGCUCGUUAAAUCUUUAAAAGCAUCGAAAAUUUAACGGAUCUAAACAAUAUACCGAAACUUUGUCCUCAUUUAAACAUAAUUAUUAUUAUUGUUAUUUGCAGGGGUAGCAGAACGUUGGGUUAUAUUAGAUUUGAUAUUUUUUAAAUUCAAAUAAAAAAAACUCAAGUGAUAAUGGUGACAUGAGUAACAAAAAAGAUCCGGUACGAGGAGUAUAUACGGAACUCGCCUAAAGCUUAUGGCUGAGGUAAAACGGCCUCUAAGUUUUUAACCUGAAGGUUAAAACGAUGAGUAAUUCUUAUUACUAAACAACAUUUUCUAAGUAAAGUAAAAUAAAAUAAGUUAAUAUAUUUACUUACUUUUUAAGUGGGAAAUGUACUGGAAAAAUUAGUAUAGCUAUUCUUAAGGUUGUACCUUGAAACUUAUUUUUUGGGGGAAGCUGUAUUUGUUUAUAACAGGUAAGUGUUGGCAUACUUAUAUGUUAUUGCAAAUAUUUUUACCUUUACAGAAGGCGAAAUUUAAAUUUCGCCUUCUGAUAGAGGAAGCUUGAAAAAGUGAUAUCUUCUGAUAUCCCUUCGGGGGAUACGCUAGGUGAAGAUAUGAAAUAAAGAAUAGACGACCGUACCUAAAGACUGCCACACUAGUAAGCUAGUAGAGAAUACGAAGGCGUAAGAGAUAACAAUCAUAAAGGAACUCGGCAAAUUGAUACCAAAACUUCGGGAAAAGGUAGGCUCAUUAGUCUUGGUUAAUACAAGUAAAAAGGAAGAAGCAUAAAAGGAUGUUGUACGACUGUUUAAUUAAAACACAGCACUUUGCAAAAAGAUGAUAAAUCUAAGUAUUGAGUGUGAUACCUGCCCGGUGCCGGCUGGUUAACGGAAAUAACUAAAUUGUCAUAAGUUUGGUGUAGAAGGAAACCCCGGUUAAUGGCGGCCUUAUAAGUGAGGGUCCUAAGGUAGCGGAAUACCUUGGCCGUUAAAUGCGGUCUUUGCAUGAAUGGUGUAACGAUACAACAGCUGUCUCUAUGAUUGACUCUGUGAAAUUGGAAUAACUGUGCAGAUACAGUUUACCUCUAGUUGGACGAGAAGACCCUAUGCAGCUUUACUGUUACUAAUUAUUGAGUAUAAUAACAGCAAAUUUUAGUAUAUAAGGUAAUUGAUAAGAUAUAAGUGAAAUACCUUUAUUUGUUUAUUAUAUUAUUAUGGAAUAAUACUGGCGCGCCUGAUCCCGAACUUCGUUCGGGAUUUGGUGGCAUACUUCGUUAGGAAGUACGCCAGUAUUAUAAACAUCCCACUCUAUGAAAAGGGAGAACAUUUGCUAGGAGACAGUUUAUGCGGGGCACAGACCCCAUAAAGAGUAGAUGGGAGUGUCUAAGGAUUAUGAUGUUUGUCGCAAUGUGUUCGAUUAAUUUUUCGAUCGCUUGCUGCAAUUAAUUUUUGUAUAUCUAGGGGGACUUCGUCGCAAUAUAUUUAAUAGGAAGCGAUGAAGUACUAAAAAGAUAAUUUUUGUUUGUAGUUAAAUAUAACUUCGUUGUAUUUAAUCCUUUGCUAGUACGAGACGUAUAAGGGCGUACAUAUUAUUAAAAGGGUAAGAUUUUAGCUAUAGAGAAAUUAGCUUUAGUCAAAAAAGUGUUAUGUAAUAUAACACUUUUUCUAGUUAUUAAUUUCUACUUUACAGUGUUUUUAAUAAUAAUGUAAACUAAUUAUCAAGUUUAACGGCUUAAUCUUGCUUUACUGUUUGAUUCACAACAAAUCUUACAGUCGCGUAAGCGGGGCAUAGGAUCACAAGACACAUUAAGGAAAGGUCUUGGAUUAUUGGAAAAGCUACGCUAGGGAUGUUUGUCCUUUAAUUUUUUUUCUUGUUAUUGUCUACUCCUAUAUUGCCUUAUUUUACCUUUCGCCCAGGACUAGCUCUGUGCUAGGCUGAGGCGGAGCCUUAGCAAGCUCGGUAGGAAUAAUAGAUAAGAGAUAAAGACUAGCAAGAAAAUGAUUAAGAAUAAUAUUGGGUUAAUUUCAAAGAUUACUUAUAAUAAAAGAUUAGCCGUAUCCUCCUGACGAAUAAAAUUCGUGGUCAGGAGGAGGUUUUGCCUAAUCUCAUCCAGCCGUAGUCGGCCGUACUGACUUCUUCGAAGUCAGUCCUUCGUGGAGGCUACGCCCCCAUAGGGGGGACUACGGCUGGACUACGCAAGCUUGUCAGAUAGAGUAUAAGUAAAUUUGAAGCGAAAUUUAUCUUAGCGACUUGGGCUUCGCGGUAUGGCGGCGACUUCUGGCUAGUGCGAGGGCUGGCGAAGCAAAGCUCCCCGGACUCAGCAAGCUCGCACUAAAAAAAGUAUACUUUUUUUUUUAUAUAGGUGCUUCGCCAGAAGUACUGCUGCCAUACUGACUUCACCUGCCUGAUCCCGAACUUCGUUCGGGAUAUGGAUGGCAGUCAGGAGCCAAUUUAAAGAUAAAAACGUUCAACGACUAAUAGGUGAGUAAUGCUAACAAUAAUCCUAUCUUGAAACCCAACACUUUUUUAUUAUAUAUGUUCAAGAACAAAAGAAAAUAAAAAAUAUUAUAAUAUUACUAUAUUUUAAAUGAAAACAAUGAAAAAAAAUCAAAAUUUUGGCUUACGGAUAGAAAAUGCUCGCUACGUUGGUCCCCUAUCAGGGGGCGCAAGCUCCCGCCAAUGUGUAGACUCGCCUUCUAAUCCCUAUGCAUCCUUCGGUCAGGAGAGUUCGUUGGGAUCAGGCUUAAGAGAAGGGACUACAAAUUUAAAAACAAGAGCCCGUUGGGCCGUAAAGAAUAAUUCUAAAUUGAGACCAUUUAAUAGAAUAUUGGGUGAUGUAGGAAAGAUGCAAUACUUUCCAGCAUGAUCUAAAGAAUGAAGAAAUAGUGUUUACCAUUAUAAUAGUAAUUUAAUCAAGAAUUUUCCUGUAUACGAUAUAAAUAUUUAUAAAAUAAUAAAAAGCUAUUUUAAUAUGUUUUUUAAUCAUCAAUUUCUUAAAUACGAUUAUAUUCGUCCUAAAAGAAGACGUUUAUCUUUUAAUAAAAUUUUUUUAGCUAGACCCGAAAUUAAACAUACUAACUCUAAAGCUAUUAUAACUCUAUAUGCUUUUAAUAGAGAAAAGUUUGCUUUAUUAAAAAAAAUUAAAAUUUUAACUAAAUUAACUAAAAAGAUAAUUAAAUUUGUUCAACGAAAAAACUGUUUAUUAAAGAUAGAAAAUAUUUUUUUUAAAUUUAAUAUGAUUUUUGCGAUAUUAAAAAAUAGAAAUCUACUUCAAGAUUUUUAUGCUUAUUAUUCUACUUUAAAAACAAGUAAAAUAAAAGCAAAAGAACAAGCAAAUAAAUGAAUAAAAUUGAUUUUUAAGAAAGAACUUACAUUAAUUAGAAAAUAUAAAUUUAGAUUAAAUCUUAAUAAGUAUAAAUUUGAAGAUAAAUUAUUAUAUGGAUUAAGUAAUAUUAUAAGAAAGCUUUAUAAUAAAGAGAUAGAAUUUAAUAUUGUUAAUUUAAAAAAUAUAGUUUUUAAUACAGAUUUAUUUACGGAAAUAUCUACAUUAAAAAUUAAAAAAAGAAAUGCUAAAAUUGUAAAAAUAAUGAACAUUAUGUUAAAUAAAGCUAACUUACCUUAUUUUAACCGAAUCCAGGAAACAGGUAGAUUAGAUAAUAAUGUAAGUCUUAAGUUAGUAGAAAAUAGAUAUAAAACUCUUAAUAUAAGAAAUAUUUUAGGUACUAAAUUUAAUAGUCCCGUUGGGACUCAGCAAGCUCUAGAUAAACUAUUAAAUAAAAUAUAUAUCAGUGUUAAUGAUAAAUUAUUACCACAACUAACUUUAGCUCGCCAUCCGAAGGCCGGAUCUAAAAAUAUAAUAAAGGGAUCUAAUCAUCGUGAGUCCCCGCAGGGGACUUUGGGUAGCUUACGUGGCGACUUUGUCGGCAGAGGGGCGCAAGCUCCCUUCGGCGCCUUAUCCAACGUAGUCGCAUCAGGGUUGUACGAUAUGGUAUUUAAUUCUAUUAAAUAUAAAAACAUGGCCGGAAUUAGAAUGGAAGUAAAAGGAAGAUUAACGAAACGUUAUAGAGCUGAUCGUAGUGUUUAUAAACUACGGUGAAAAGGUGGAUUGAAAAAUAUUGACUCUUCUUUUAAAGGAUUGUCGGUAAGAAAAAACCGUGGUCACCUAAAUCCUAAUGUUGGUUAUUCUAUUUUUGCAUCUAAACGACGUGUUGGUGCUUUUGCUGUGAAAGGUUGAAUGGCAGGUAAAUCUUAAUCUACUAUUCGCAGCUUGCGACUUCUCGACAAAGUAUCGAUCGGCAUACUUCUGACGAAGUAUAGCAGAAGACGGCUUUGUUUUGCUUCGCUAGAAGUAUGCGUCAUUCGUGAGUACUCUCCUAUACUUCGUCAGAAGUAUGGCAGGGGACUACGGAUAUAUUUUUCUUCUACCACGGAGGUCAGCUCAAUUUGGGUUGGGCUGCGCCCCAGCAAGCAUCCUUCGGAGGAAUAUGGAUAAGUAGCAGUAAAAUAAAAUUUUUAUUAAGCUUAUUCUUAUUUUUUUUUUUUUUUUCAAUAGCAUAUAUUACACAGUAGGUUGGUAGGUAGUUUAAAACGUAGGCGUGUUAUAUAUAAUAAAAAAGUGAAUACAUAGUCUGAACCAUUUUGUAAAAAAUGGAAAUGGUGGCGCAAGUUCCUUCAGUAGCUUUUAGUUUUAAAAAUAAAACUUAUUUUUUAAAACAAGUUUUAAAAACUAGAAGCCACCGGGGCAUACUUCGUCAGCACUAAUGAUAACAAUUUGAACAGGCUAAUUUGCGCAAGAGUGUACAAAAUGAGUGCGCGGUUUGGCACCUCGAUGUCGGCUUAACUUAUCCUCAUGGAUGCAGGAACUAUGUAGGGUACGACUGUUCGUCGAUUAAAAAGUUACAUGAGCUGGGUUAAAUACGUCGUGAGACAGUAUGGUUUCUAUCUUCUAGAGGGAAUUAGAAUAAAAUAAGGAAUAACCUAGUACGAAAGGAACGUGGGGAAUUAAGUUAUUCUGGGUAAUACCAGGGUACACUUUAUUAACCUCUGGUUUACCUGUUGUUUAUACGCCCAAUAUUAAUUUAUGUAUAGGUUUAAACCUCUUUAUACAGGGAUGUUACUUUCACUUAGGUAGAUAAAUAGUAUAGGCACGGCAGGAAAGCUAAGUUAGUCCAAGAUAAGUGCUGAAAGCAUAUAGGCACGAAGCUUACCUUAAGAUAUUUCUUAAAUAUACGUGAUAUAACAUUACGAAUAUUAUAUAGGCUUUUUUUGUAAGAAUCAAGAGAUUUUGAGGAAUGAAGUACUAAUUUUAUAAAAUACUUAUAUAGU
rnacentral:rRNA from 1 species